rnacentral:lncRNA from 1 species
UGGCAUCCUCUUGAGGUUGGCCUCCGGGGUGGAGGCCCCGACGGGAGAACCCCUCGGGGAGACUCGGGGGACUGAAGAUGGCGGAGAGCCAGUGGAGAUGGCAAAGACUGGCGCAGAGGACGCUCGGUGCCGCGAAGGGCACCGAUGGAGUGAAGCCCUUGAAGGAAAGUCGGGGGGCUUAAAUAAGCAGCGGGGCCUAGCGCAGUUAUGGCGGCAGGUAUCCCCAGGCCAGC